AAACACAGGAACAUGCGGGCACACACUGAUGGUAGAAGAUUAUUACGGAAGUUAAUUUCAGCAGAUGCCUUUAGCGUGUCAAGCUUUUCAAAAUGUAGAAUUAUCAACCUUCAGCCCUCAAGGAUCAACAAGACCAGAUGGCAGAUGUGGAAACAUUUUAAUCUAUGUCCUGGGAGAUGCCUGUGUUCUUAGAUGGGGAUGUGAAGUAUUUUUAUGAGAUGUUAAGACCAUAGAACACUCUAUCUGGGUAGGAAAAUCACUGCUUAUCCAGGACCUAAAAUAUAAAUGUUUUACUUAUUAUAAGCAGCAUGUACAUAAAAGAAUGAAUGAAAGAAAGAAACAUGUAAGCAUGAAGCAGUAAAGAUUAUCUGUUAAUGAUCUGGAUUUAUUCAUAUAGCCCUGGACUAUAAACUGAUAAUUUAGUUUUCAGUAAAGUUCACAUUGAUUGCUGUCUUUGAUUUUUUUUUCUUUAAAAAAUACUGUUUUAAAACCUUU